rnacentral:lncRNA from 1 species
CCAUCCUACUGAGUUUGUUAACUUUGUCAGAGAUUGUCCCAGAGUAAAUGACAAAACUAAAUUAAAUAUACUUGCACAUUUAUCCAAAGCCUUGUGUACAGAUUAGAUCUUGUUAGAUUUAUUUUUUUCAGGUAAAUUUCUUCAAGGGUUAUACUAACAUGGAUAAACUGUAGCAUGGGGCUUACUGGGUGCUAUCAAGAAGGACAAACACAAAAAUAUUUCCUACCAUACAAAAAAAAAUACUAGUCAUACAAAAGUGAUCUCAACCAUAGCAUUAUUACAUUUACAAAAUGUUGU